GCUGUAUCACCACACAUGGGGGAGUAUAGUGCUUUCUUCUUCUGAGGCUGGUUUCUUGGGGCAGCCUGCCACACAAGGGUGCUGCACAGCCUACUGGGCUAAUAUCAGCAUGGAAGGGUCAUAUGAAGGGAUGGAAAAGCUUAAAAAAGCAACAGCCCUGAGGUGCCUGGGAGAACAGAGCAAGAAAGAAGGCGUAGCUUUGCAUCAAGAGAAAGGAAGACUAUGCCUGGCAUCACAAACUGAAUAUGCAGAUGGAAAACUUGCUAUAGGGGAAGACUCAGAUCCUCUUUUCUCAUAAGUAGUCGCUUCUGUCUUGAAGAACUUCCUGGAUUCCUGUUUUCUGAGAGAAGCAGAAGAUGAAGAAGUAUGUAUGGUGAAGAAUGAUAACUAUUUGAGACAGUUGUGGGAGAUACAAGCUUCAUUCAAAGCCUGCUGGAAUCGGUGGAAAUCUAUCGCUGCCUGCCUCAGCCUUUGGAGUCUCUCUUGGUUCUUCCCAAACUUUGGAUUUUCAAUGGCUGUAUUAAAAGUAAAUUUUUUGUCUGAUUCCAA